ensembl:lncRNA
GCUGGGGCUGACUCUGGAGCUGAGGCUGGGGCAGGGCUGGAGCUGGGGCUGGAGCUGGGGCAGGGGCUGGGGCUGUAGGUGCGGGUACGGGGGGGCUGCGGAACCCGAGAAGGUGGGGAGCGAAUCCCCGCUACUGGGAAAAAAAUCCUCCAACAACCCUUUUGUUUCUUGCCAGAAUCCAAAAGGAAAUCGGGUACAAAGCGACCGAAAUGCAUUUAAAGAAAAAAAAAAGUUUAUAUAAUAUAUAUAAAAUAUAUUUGUAUAUAAAAUGUAUAUUAAUAUAUGCUAUAUAUUAUACAUAGUAUAUAUAUUAUAAUAUAGAUUCCUUUAUUAAAUUUUUGUCUAUAUAAAUAAUACCCGCGGUGACGGCUUCUUUACCCCGAGGGGCUGCCGGCUCCCAGCGUGGCAGAGGCAGACGGUCCCCACAAAACGCGGAUAUAAUGUAGGAACGGCUCCGGUGAGGGGGUGAAGGCGGCGGAGAGAGGCGCACCCCCUCCUUCCUGGAGGGAUUAUCUCAUCCCAAGCCAAGUUCAUUGUGAACGAAGACGUGGAAGAUACCUAUUGCUGGAGGCUGCAGGAAAUCAGGGAAGAAAGGACGAAAAUUCCCCCGCUACAUGGACUCCCAGCAAGGCUGGUUCUGCCUGAGGCCAGGUCCCUGGUUUGCUGCAGAAGCUACCAGCGGGAGCUACCAGCGGGCAUGCAGAGGACUCACAAACACAGUAUGAGACACAAAUGGAGAAGGAAAAUGGACAGAUGGGAGAUGGAGCUGGCAGAGACUGAGUCCUCCUGACAGGAAACACCCCAAAGGCAAAGCCAGCUGCCGGUGCUGCCCCUCUGCUCUGAGAGGCCCCCACAGCCUGAAUGAUAAAAUAAAAGCAAGAAUUUU